GCGGCACAGUGAAGUUAAAAUGGCCCUUCAAAGACACCGUAGGAACCCAUGUGUGCUUGAGCUAACGCGCGGUCCCUAGAGUCCCGGGCAGCUGGUGGACGUGGAGCUGUCCUACACAAGUCUAUGGGUCACUGAGUCGCCUUUUAGUGCAUGCUGCUGACUGACACUACUACACUGCAUGACCAAAAGUAUCUGGACACCCCAUGGUCUGGUGGCUGUUUUUCAUGGUUUGGGCUAGGCCCCUUUGUUCCAGUGAAGGCAAAUAGACAAACGCAGCCAGCCGUGCACGUGCACAGUCCUGGCUCUAUGGAGACAUACGACACAACCAAUCUUCAUCUGAACCUAAAAAAAAAAAGAACAUUGUAUGACAUCACAGUGGUCUUUUACUUGUUUUUAGCAUUUCUAUAAUGUUUACAAUGCGCCAGAGAUGUGAACGUAUGCAACAUUUCAUUAUUAGCUAUUGAUCAAAACGUCCCCUCUUUGGCAGUGUAGGCCUGCAGAACUGCGUCUGACACAGUCACUAUCAGAUCUAGCACAUUUUUCCACAGUGGCCCGAACCGUCUGGCAACCGUCUUGUCACCACUGUCAUCAUGCUCAAGUGUCGGUUUGCUGAGCCUGGGAGAUUCGAAGUAGUGACAUUUAACCUCUCUGUGCACCAUUGUGCUUUCUUCCUGGAGCUUGGAGGAAUCAGAAAAGCAGAACAAACAUCGAGUCGCUGCUAAUGUUUAUAGCUUAUAGCGAACGUUAUGUUCAAGAUGUGUUCAAGCUAUACAAUACAAUACAAGUUUCACAGUAUAUAAAGAAAAAACUCAACAGCAUAUGUAUGGUAAUUUAUGAAUGUGUGAUUAAAAUAAUAAAUAAUAAAAUAC